rnacentral:rRNA from 1 species
AUUGAACGCUGGCGGCAGGCCUAACACAUGCAAGUCGAGCGAGCGGCGGACGGGUGAGUAAUGUCUGGGAAACUGCCUGAUGUAGGGGGCUAACUACUGGAAACGGUAGCUAAUACCGCAUACCAUCAGAUGUGCCUAGAUGGGCUGAGCUCGUAGGUGGGGUAACGGCCCACCUAGGCGACGCUCCCUAGCUGGUCUGAGAGGAUGACCAGCCACACUGGAACUGAGACACGGUCCAGACUCCUACGGGAGGCAGCAGUGGGGAAUAUUGCACAAUGGGCGAAAGCCUGAUGCAGCCAUGCCGCGUGUGUGAAGAAGGCCUUCGGGUUGUAAAGCACUUUCAGCGGGGAGGCGUUACCCACAGAAGAAGCACCGGCUAACUCCGUGCCAGCAGCCGCGGUAAUUC